rnacentral:rRNA from 1 species
UACGUAGGGGGCGAGCGUUGUCCGGAAUUACUGGGCGUAAAGGGUGCGUAGGUGGCCUUUUAAGUUGGAUGUGAAAUACCCGGGCUUAACUUGGGGGGUGCAUCUAAUACUGGAAGGCUAGAGUGCAGGAGAGGAAAGCGGAAUUCCUAGUGUAGCGGUGAAAUGCGUAGAUAUUAGGAGGAACACCAGUGGCGAAGGCGGCUUUCUGGACUGUAACUGACACUGAGGCACGAAAGCGUGGGGAGCAAACAGGAUUAGAUACCCUGGUAGUCCACGCGGUAAACGAUGAAUACUAGGUGUAGGGGGUAUCAACUCCCCCUGUGCCGCAGCUAACGCAAUAAGUAUUCCGCCUGGGGAGUACGGCCGCAAGGUUGAA